UUAACAAUCUGUUGGCAGUGCUCAUAGGCCCCACCAAGCCUCGCAAGGAAAACAUCUGAAAUUCGACAGGCACUUGACAGUCUCGUUAGUGGCUGCCAGUGUUAAACAUGUCUGGAUAUUUCUGAGCUUUCUGCAUGUUGGUCCCAUUCAUGUGUCUUCACCUAACAUAUCAAGAUUAGCUCUUCUUUUAGCAACAGACGCCCAGUGGGGAAAAAAAGGUGUUGCUUUCACCAGUUCUUUCUGGAUAUAUGAAUGCUGAUAAACUGUUUCUACAAGACCAGAAUUGCUUUUCACCUAUUAAGAAACAAGAAUUGAUCACGUGAACUAUAAAGACAAAAUUAAAUUGGGCUUUUCUUUGACCAGUAGGGAAGGAGGAUUUUCCGUUAAAAAAAGUGUGAAGGAUAGGGCAAUAUUUUUAAAUCACACAUAAUUAUGGACAAUGGCCUGCAAUAUUGUGACAGUUUUGAAUAACCUUCUCUUGGGAUUUUAUACCUUCAGGUGGCAGAAAGGGGUGCUGAAAAGCAGCCCUGGUAUAAACGUGACUGAGAAUAGCCUGUAGCAUAAUAAAUAGACUACACUAUUGUUGCAGAAAACAAACUUUUCAGCUUUGAUUGUAUGAAAAAUACCCUUGCUCUCAGGAAAUUCUGUUCCCAUCAGGGAAGUACAGUGGAAGAGCUCAGAAAAGUGGCUGCCAAAGAUGUAACAGGUGGAUUUUUCUCAACAGGGGGUUAACUUCACUCUUUCGUGUGCAAGACUGAGCUCUCUGAAUCACUCUGAAGUUCCACUGUCACUCAUCUCUCACUGUUCUGCUCUUUUAACCCAAAGGCCUGCAAGGCACCCCAGCCAAAGCCUGAAGAAACAUCCCUCCCCUGUGAAUGAAGAAGUGUCCCAGCAGAUCAGCAGAGCACUGCUUGCGGCAGGCAAGGUGGGUGCACUGGAGUCAGCAGAAAUUCUGCAAGAGUGAAAUCAGCUUCUCAAAUGUUUAGGACAUUCCUAAUGAAAUGGUUUCUGCAAUUCAGUAGCUGGGGCAGCAAAGGAGGAUGUAUGCAAUUUGAUUCAAGUCUCAGUCAUGGUGCUCCCACAUAGAAUCAUCAAGGCUGGAGAACACCUUUAAUCUCAUCAAGUCCAACCAUCCACCCAGCACUGCCACUGUAACCACUGGACCACAUCACCCAGUACCAGAUCCAGGUGCCUCUAAAACACCUCCAGGGAUCGUGACUCCAGCACCUCCCUGGGAACCAGUCCAAUGCCUGACCACCCUGACAGCAAACAGCUUUUUCUGUUAUCUAUCAUGAUACUGACAGAAGUUAAUUUAAAAGAAAAGAUAAUACAGUCUGCCUGUUAAAACUGGGAGAGCAUACAGCAAAGAAGAUUUCCAAGACAGGGAAACCACAGAGCAAGAGGCAACAUGAACCUGUAGCCCAGUGAAAAGAGAGCUUGAGUUGAUUUGCCUUUCUCUCCUCACUAAGGUAUGAGCAAGCUCUUCCUUGCCCCAAAAAUAUCAAAUUUCCCUCUCUGCUGUGCCCCUCUAAAAGGCAAAAUGGGGAGGGAGGGCACCCAAAAGUCAGACUAGGUGCCUAAGAGAAAAAGGGAGUUCAUCCUGGCAUUAGGAGAGAGCUGAAUUUGGGAACAUCCCCUGCAGUAUGCUUUCUUCAUGCUGUGUUUCCCUCAGCCCAUCUUAUCAGCAGACAGCCUUGUUUUCAUCCCAUUUCUGACUCACCACACAGAGAGAAGUUGUUGCUAACUUCCAUGUAUGGAUUUUAGGAUCUGGCUCCAACACUGAAGUUUUGUGCAUCCAAAUCAGUAAGAAGUAGCCCUUCAAAGAGGACAUACUGUUCAGUUACUGGAGUAUCAGUAUUUUCAUGCCCUUUGGUCAUCUGCGAAAAGUAACACUGCAUCAAGGCCCUCUUAAAGUAUAGCAACCAGUGACAGCCACUCUUGCCUGCCUGAGAGCGCAGAGUCAUCUCAGGCCUUCCAGGUCUGUUCUAUUUCCCCCCCAUUUCUUCUCCUUUAUGUGAAUAUAUCCAUAUUGCACUUAUAAGGGAGGCAAUGGCUUAGCACACUUGCUCUGAUGCUUCUUCCUUUUUCUUUGUCUCUUCUGAAAUACAUUCCAGCUCCUUACCCUGCUUGAACUGACUGGAAUAAUGAGGAGUCUUAUUCAGCAUCUUGGCUGUUCUCUGCCUUAUGUUUCACCUCAUAAUGAGUGGAAAGGGUCAAAUUACUAGUAAAAAUUCACUCCAGUAGCUGG